rnacentral:lncRNA from 1 species
GAAAAGAGACAAGCGCUUGCUUCCUCUCUCUCUUUCUCUACCAGAUGAGGAUACAAGAAGAAGAUGGCCAUCUGUAAACCAGGACCAGGGCCCUCACCAAGAACUGGACCAUUCUGGCACUCUGAUCUUGGAUUUCAGCCUCCAGAACUCAAGUUGUGUUGCACAGGAUGGCACCAAAUGCUUUCUUAAGUGAAUGCUGCUAUAAAACCAGCCCAGAAGGCAUGGAGUAGCUACUUGAAGACUCUGCAAAGCAAGUGGUAGCUGGCCGACUGGUGAAGAAGGCAGAAUCUGAAGUACCCCUGAACUGAUGGCUGAAAAUUCUAUGCGCAUUCUACCCAGCUUCUUAGAAGGUCCUCACAGAAGAUGAGAUGGAUCACGUGGCCACCUUCACUGCCUCCUUCCCCACUUUACUCCUUCCAGGAGUCUAGGGACUCCUGUCUGCUGGGAUCAUUCUCCAAAAUAACCUUCCUUUACAGAAACCCUUGUCACAGGCUCUGUUUCCUGCGCGGAACCCAGACUGAGACACUAAAAUGAUACAAUAGAAUGAAGACAUGAAUGUGAAUUGCUCAGGGGUUGGUUGGAUUGUAUAUCUCUGUGAAUAGGGUUCAAAGAGAAGUUUGGGAAACACUGGACUAGAUGACCACUGGCAUCACAGCGUGUAGAAUUAGAACCUUCACAUCCCCAUCCAGCUAUAACAGGUUUAUGAGUAUCUAGGUCUUCCACGAAGAACAGUAGGAGAAGAUCCCCAAGCCUCGUCAGACCUGUUGAAUAUCCAUGAGUAUGUGUGACAUCCAGGAGAAACAGAGAACAAAACAAAACAGAACAUUUUCACAAACAUUCAGAACCCUACGAUCUUGGGAGUCUUCUGCACUCUAUAGUAGUAAUAGAUUAUGUCCAAAUCUGUUACAAAUUAUUAAACUGCAAGUGAUGUUGGCCUAUUCCAAGGAAA